ACCGUACUCCUACGGGAGGCAGCAGUGGGGAAUUUUGGACAAUGGGGGCAACCCUGAUCCAGCAAUGCCGCGUGAGUGAAGAAGGCCUUCGGGUUGUAAAGCUCUUUUGUCAGGGAAGAAACGGUAGUAGCUAAUAUCUAUUACUAAUGACGGUACCUGAAGAAUAAGCACCGGCUAACUACGUGCCAGCAGCCGCGGUAAUACGUAGGGUGCAAGCGUUAAUCGGAAUUGCUGGGCGUAAAGCGUGCGCAGGCGGUUGUGUAAGUCAGAUGUGAAAUCCCCGGGCUCAACCUGGGAAUUGCAUUUGGGACUGCACGUCUAGAGUGUGUCAGAGGGGGGUAGAAUUCCACGUGUAGCAGUGAAAUGCGUAGAUAUGUGGAGGAAUACCGAUGGCGAAGGCAGCCCCCUGGGAUAACACUGACGCUCAUGCACGAAAGCGUGGGGAGCAAACAGGAUUAGAAACCCUUGUAGUCCUUGAC
rnacentral:rRNA from 1 species